UGUGGUCAAGUUUCUAAGAGCAAACGGUGGAUGCCUUGGCAUCUGGAGCCGAAGAAGGACGUAGAAAUCUGCGAUAAGCCUCGGGGAGCUGAUAAUCGAGCCCUGAUCCGAGGAUUUCCGAAUGGGGAAACCCCGCCAGGCGUUAUGUCUGGUGACUCCCGCCUGAAUAUAUAGGGCGGGUAGAGGGAACGUGGGGAAGUGAAACAUCUCAGUACCCACAGGAAGAGAAAACAACAGUGAUUCCGUCAGUAGUGGCGAGCGAAAUCGGAAGAGGCUAAACCGGUCAUGUGUGAUAGACGGCGGUCGUUGCAUGGUCGGGGUUGUGGGACCCGUUGUCCUGUUCUGCCGGACAGGGACAGUUACAGCGCAGUAUAGGCGAACAGCUUUGAAUGGCUGGUCAUAGAGGGUGCGAACCCCGUAGCCGAAAUGCUGGCGCUGGCUGAAUGGGGAUCCCAAGUAGCUCGGGGCCCGAGAAAUCCCGUGUGAAUCUGUCAGGACCACCUGAUAAGCCUAAAUACUCCCAGAUGACCGAUAGCGGACAAGUACCGUGAGGGAAAGGUGAAAAGUNUAGGGGUGACAGCGUGCCUUUUGAAGAAUGAGCCUGCGAGUUAGCGAUAUGUGGCGAGGUUAACCCGUGUGGGGUAGCCGUAGCGAAAGCGAGUCUUAAUAGGGCGAUCCAGUCGCAUGUCCUAGACCCGAAGCGAAGUGAUCUAUCCAUGGCCAGGUUGAAGCGACGGUAAGACGUCGUGGAGGACCGAACCCACUUAGGUUGAAAACUGAGGGGAUGAGCUGUGGAUAGGGGUGAAAGGCCAAUCAAACUUCGUGAUAGCUGGUUCUCUCCGAAAUGCAUUUAGGUGCAGCGUUGCGUGUUUCUUGCCGGAGGUAGAGCUACUGGAUGGCCGAUGGGGCCCAAAAGCUUACUGACGUCAGCCAAACUCCGAAUGCCGGUAAGUGAGAGCGCAGCAGUGAGACGGUGGGGGAUAAGCUUCAUCGUCGAGAGGGAAACAACCCAGACUACCAACUAAGGUCCCUAAGCGUGUGCUAAGUGGGAAAGGAUGUGGAGUUGCAUAGACAACCAGGAGGUUGGCUUAGAAGCAGCCACCCUUGAAAGAGUGCGUAAUAGCUCACUGGUCAAGUGAUUCCGCGCCGACAAUGUAACGGGGCUCAAGCACACCACCGAAGUUGUAGAUUUCGUAUUAUAGACAAGCCUUCGUGGUUCAGUCGUACGGAGUGGUAGGAGAGCGUCGUGUGGCCAGUGAAGCGGCGGUGUAANCGUCCUCCGAAAGACCAAGGGUUCCAGGGCCAGGUUAAUCCGCCCUGGGUAAGUCGGGACCUAAGGCGAGGCCGACAGGCGUAGUCGAUGGACAACGGGUUGAUAUUCCCGUACCGGCGAAGAACCGCCCAAGCUAAUCCAGUGGUGCUAAGAGUCCUAACCCGGCUGAGUGGAUCCCUUCGGGGUGAUGCCGGCCGGUCUAACGCUCGACCCCAUGCUGGUGCGGUUAACGUAUUAACAGGUGUGACGCAGGAAGGUAGCUGAGCCAGGCGAUGGUAUCCGUAAGGUGAACCUGGUGUAAGGAUGUAGGGCUGACGAUAGGCAAAUCCGUCGUCAAUGCGCCUGAGAUCCGAUGCGUACCCCGAUUGGGGGAAAUCAGUGAUCCUAUGCUGCCGAGAAAAGCAUCGACGUGAGGUUCAAGCCGCCCGUACCCCAAACCGACUCAGGUGGUCAGGUAGAGAAUACCAAGGAGAUCGAGAGAAUCGUGGUUAAGGAACUCGGCAAAAUGCCCCCGUAACUUCGGGAGAAGGGGGGCCGGAACCGUGAUGGGAUUUACUCCCGGAGCGGGAAAGGCCGCAGAGACCAGUGGGAAGCGACUGUUUACUAAAAACACAGGUCCGUGCCAAGUCGCAAGACGAUGUAUACGGACUGACGCCUGCCCGGUGCUGGAAGGUUAAGAGGAACGGUUAGCGCAAGCGAAGCUGAGAAUUUAAGCCCCAGUAAACGGCGGUGGUAACUAUAACCAUCCUAAGGUAGCGAAAUUCCUUGUCGGGUAAGUUCCGACCUGCACGAAUGGCGUAACGACUUCCCAGCUGUCUCAACCGCGAACUCGGCGAAAUUGCACUACGAGUAAAGAUGCUCGUUACGCGCAGCAGGACGGAAAGACCCCGUGACCUUUACUACAGCUUGGUAUUGGUGUUCGGAGUGGCUUGUGUAGG
rnacentral:rRNA from 1 species